CAGGAUGAACGCUAGCGACAGGCUUAACACAUGCAAGUCGAGGGGUAACAGGGUAGCAAUACCGCUGACGACCGGCGCACGGGUGAGUAACGCGUAUGCAACCUGCCUAUAACUGGGGAAUAGCUCCCUGAAAGGGGAAUUAACACCGCAUAACACUAUUGAUUCGCAUGGAUUGGUAGUUAAAUGUAGCGAUACAGGUUAUAGAUGGGCAUGCGUGACAUUAGCUAGUUGGUGAGGUAACGGCUCACCAAGGCUACGAUGUCUAGGGGUUCUGAGAGGAAGGUCCCCCCACACUGGUACUGAGACACGGACCAGACUCCUACGGGAGGCAGCAGUGAGGAAUAUUGGUCAAUGGGCGCAAGCCUGAACCAGCCAUGUCGCGUGCAGGAAGAACUGCCCUAUGGGUUGUAAACUGCUUUUAUAGUAGAAGAAACACAUCUACGCGUAGAUGUCUGCCAGUAUACUAUGAAUAAGCAUCGGCUAACUCCGUGCCAGCCGCCGC
rnacentral:rRNA from 1 species